rnacentral:rRNA from 1 species
GAUUGGAAGUAAAAGUCGUAACAAGGUUUCCGUAAGAAGAACCUGCGGAAGGAUCAUUAUUGAAAUAAACCUGAUGGGCUGUUGCUGGUUCUCUAGGGAGCAUGUGCACGCCUUGUCAUCUUUAUAUCUCCACCUGUGCACCUUUUGUAGAUCUUUCAGGUCUAUGUUGCUUCAUUUUACCACAAUGUAUGUUAAUAGAAUGUUGUGCCUAUAUAAUGUAUACAACUUUCAGCAACGGAUCUCUUGGCUCUCGCAUCGAUGAAGAACGCAGCGAAAUGCGAUAAGUAAUGUGAAUUGCAGAAUUCAGUGAAUCAUCGAAUCUUUGAACGCACCUUGCGCUCCUUGGUAUUCCGAGGAGCAUGCCUGUUUGAGUGUCAUUAAUAUAUAUAUCAGCCCUCUUUUGUUGAGUGGGUUGGAUGUGGGGGUUUGCUGGCCUUUUUAAAAAGGGGUUCGGCUCUCCUGAAAUGCAUUAGCAGAACAACCUGUUCAUUGGUGUGAUAACUAUCUACGCUAUUGAAUGUAAAGGGAAGUUCAGCUUUCUAAUGGUCCUUUGGACAAUUUACAUCAUUAAUGUGACCUCAAAUCAGUAGGACUACCCCGCUGAACUUAAGCAUAUCAAUAAGCGGAGGAUAUC